GACGAACGCUGGCGGCGUGCUUAACACAUGCAAGUCGAACGGAAAGGCCCCCACUUUUUUGGUGGGGGUGCUCGAGUGGCGAACGGGUGAGUAACACGUGGGUGAUCUGCCCUGUACUUCGGGAUAAGCUUGGGAAACUGGGUCUAAUACCGGAUAGGACCAUGGUUUAGUGUCUCAUGGUGGAAAAAUUAUUGUUUUGGUGCAGGAUGAGCUCGCGGCCUCUCAGCUUGUUGGUGGGGUAAUGGCCUACCAAGGCGUCGACGGGUAGCCGGCCUGAGAGGGUGGACGGCCACAUUGGGACUGAGAUACGGCCCAGACUCCUACGGGAGGCAGCAGUGGGGAAUAUUGCACAAUGGGCGCAAGCCUGAUGCAGCGACGCCGCGUGGGGGAUGACGGCCUUCGGGUUGUAAACUCCUUUCGUUAGGGACGAAGCCGCACCUUUUUUGGGUGUGGUGACGGUACCUUUGUUAAGAAGCACCGGCUAACUACGUG
rnacentral:rRNA from 1 species